GACGAACGCUGGCGGCGUGCCUAACACAUGCAAGUCGAACGGAGUGGCGAACGGGUGAGUAACACGUGGGUGAUCUGCCUUGCACUUCGGGAUAAGCUUGGGAAACUGGGUCUAAUACCGGAUAGUGCAAGAUGAGCUCGCGGCCUAUCAGCUUGUGGGUGGGGUAAUGGCCUACCAAGGCGUCGACGGGUAGCCGGCCUGGGAGGGUGUACGGCCACAUUGGGACUGAGGUACGGCCCAGUCGCCGACGGGGGGCAGCAGUGGGGAGUAUUGCACAGUGGUCGGAAGCCUGAUGCAGCGGCGCCGCGUGGGUAAUGUAGGCCUUCGGGUUAGAAACUCCUUGCGGCAGGGACGCGGUACCUGUAUAAGAAGCACCGGCUAACUACGUGCCAGCAGCCGCGGUAAUAC
rnacentral:rRNA from 1 species